rnacentral:rRNA from 1 species
GUGGACGCCAGUCUGCAUGGAGCCGACCUUGAAAUACCACCCUUUAAUGUUUGAUGUUCUAACGUGGACCCGUAAUCCGGGUUGCGGACAGUGUCUGGUGGGUAGUUUGACUGGGGCGGUCUCCUCCUAAAGAGUAACGGAGGAGCACGAAGGUUGGCUAAUCCUGGUCGGACAUCAGGAGGUUAGUGCAAUGGCAUAAGCCAGCUUGACUGCGAGCGUGACGGCGCGAGCAGGUGCGAAAGCAGGUCAUAGUGAUCCGGUGGUUCUGAAUGGAAGGGCCAUCGCUCAACGGAUAAAAGGUACUCCGGGGAUAACAGGCUGAUACCGCCCAAGAGUUCAUAUCGACGGCGGUGUUUGGCACCUCGAUGUCGGCUCAUCACAUCCUGGGGCUGAAGUAGGUCCCAAGGGUAUGGCUGUUCGCCAUUUAAAGUGGUACGCGAGCUGGGUUUAGAACGUCGUGAGACAGUUCGGUCCCUAUCUGCCGUGGGCGCUGGAGAACUGAGGGGGGCUGCUCCUAGUACGAGAGGACCGGAGUGGACGCAUCACUGGUGUUCGGGUUGUCAUGCCAAUGGCACUGCCCGGUAGCUAAAUGCGGAAGAGAUAAGUGCUGAAAGCAUCUAAGCACGAAACUUGCC